rnacentral:snRNA from 1 species
AUCACUUCUUGGCCUCUUGGCUAAGAUCAAGCAUAGUGUCUGUUCUUACCAGUUUAGUGAGUCUCACUGGGCAGUGAGGACACCCCCCUACCCCCACAGUCCCAGUUGGAGACCCCCUGCCAGGGGCUUCUGAGAGAACCCAGGGAGAGAGAGAGGACCCCUC